rnacentral:rRNA from 1 species
AUUGAACGCUGGCGGCAUGCCUUACACAUGCAAGUCGAACGGUAACAGGUCUUCGGAUGCUGACGAGUGGCGAACGGGUGAGUAAUACAUCGGAACGUGCCCGAUCGUGGGGGAUAGCUCGGCAAAAAUGCCGGAUUAAUACCGCAUACGAUCUACGGAUGAAAGCAGGGGACCGCAAGGCCUUGCGCGAACGGAGCGGCCGAUGGCAGAUUAGGUAGUUGGUGGGGUAAAGGCUCACCAAGCCGACGAUCUGUAGCUGGUCUGAGAGGACGACCAGCCACACUGGGACUGAGACACGGCCCAGACUCCUACGGGAGGCAGCAGUGGGGAAUUUUGGACAAUGGGCGCAANCCGAUCAGCAAUGCCGCGUGCAGGAUGAGGCCUCGGGUUGUAAACUGCUUUUUGUACGGAACGAAAAGGCUCUGGUUAAUCCUGGGGCUCAUGACGGUACCGUAAGAAUAAGCACCGGCUAACUACGUGCCAGCAGCCGCGGUAAUACGUAGGGUGCGAGCGUUAAUCGGAAUUACUGGGCGUAAAGCGUGCGCAGGCGGUGAUGUAAGAC